ACUUAAAUAGCUUAUGUUUAUAGAGCGUGACACUGAAGAUGUUAAUGAGGUUAUUUUACCUUUAAGUA
rnacentral:tRNA from 1 species